UACGGGGGGGGCAAGCGUUGUUCGGAAUUACUGGGCGUAAAGGGCUCGUAGGUGGCCAACUAAGUCAGACGUGAAAUCCCCAGGCUCAACUUGGGAACUGCGUCUGAUACUGGAUGGCUUGAAUUCGGGAGAGGGAUGCAGAAUUCCAGGUGUAGCGGUGAAAUGCGUAGAUAUCUGGAGGAAUACCGGUGGCGAAGGCGGCAUCCUGGACCGAGAUUGACACGGAUGAGCGAAAGCUAGGGGAGCAAACGGG
rnacentral:rRNA from 1 species